AAGAUUCAGGCUAUGGAUGCUAGAGAGAGAGCCUUGUCCUCUGACGUAUAGAGUGAUGAGGACCAAGAGAGCCUGCAGCUGCUGGAACCAUUGCCCAAGGACAUAAGGCAGACGCUGCCGGCCGAAGAGCCGGAGAGAAACUCCAACUCUAUCACAUCAUUGCAGUCAUGCCUGAAGCCAAGCCUACCUUCAGUUUUCCCAGUGACAAGAGCCAAUUAUCUUUUUAAUUUAAAAAAAUUGAUCCAGUUUGGAUUUCUGUUGCUUAGCACAGAAAGAGUUCUGAUUAAUAAGUAAUUGAACUCAGAUGUAUUGAGACCUACUGCUCGUGUCCUGAGCCAGAGACUGGGACCCAGUGGUGAGCAAAUGAGAGACCAGCCGCUAGGACCUCCUACCCUCAUAGGAGAGACAUACAUGGCAGGUGGGCACAAUGCCAAUGUCAAGUAACAGAACAAUCUGCUCAAAGUCGGGUCUCAUUUUCUACUUUUUCAGUGCUGGCUUAUCAAGAUGCAAGAGGAAUGAUCUUCUCUUGGAAUCACCAUCUUUCCUAAACUAAGAAGCAUGACGACUUGCUACCCACGAUGGUUGAGAUGUGAAGAACUCUAAAACAGCCGGGCACAGCCAGAAUUUCUCUGGGAACUGUCCUCAGAGCUCCUGGGGAGCAGCGGGUCACCCGUAGCUCUUCUCGGACUGUCAG